rnacentral:misc_RNA from 1 species
CUGAAGUCGCUGAGGGGUUCGUUGCUGGCUCUCCGGAGCAUGUGCACGCCUCUCACACUUUAUUCAACCACCUGUGCACCUCCUGUAGUCUCUCAGACGAUUUCUCAGUCUUCGGAUUGGAUGGGACUCGCUGCUUUUUCGAAAGGAAAGGCUUCAGUCCAAUGUCUGAGGGUCUAUGUCUACACAUACACUGUAUAAAUUACCAGAAUGUUUCACGGUCUUCUGGACCUUAAAAUAAAAUA